UCCUCAUUGGUCCAGUGGUUAGGAUCUCACGCUCUCACCGUGAUGGCCAGGGUUCGAUUCCCUGAUGGGGAG
rnacentral:tRNA from 1 species